rnacentral:rRNA from 1 species
UACGUAGGGGGCAAGCGUUGUCCGGAUUUAUUGGGCGUAAAGAGCUCGUAGGCGGUCUGUCACGUCUGCCGUGAAAACCCGAGGCUUAACCUCGUGGCUUGCGGUGGAUACGGGCAGACUAGAGGUAGGUAGGGGAGAACGGAAUUCCCGGUGUAGCGGUGAAAUGCGCAGAUAUCGGGAGGAACACCGGUGGCGAAGGCGGUUCUCUGGGCCUUACCUGACGCUGAGGAGCGAAAGCAUGGGGAGCGAACAGG